GAUGAACGCUAGCUACAGGCUUAACACAUGCAAGUCGCAGGGUAACAUGAGGAAAGCUUGCUUUCCUUGAUGACGACUGGCGCACGGGUGAGUAACGCGUAUCCAACCUUCCCAUAACUACGGGAUAACCCGUUGAAAGACGGCCUAAUACCGUAUGACAUCGUUUGCUGACAUCAAAUAACGAUUAAAGGUUUAGCGGUUAUGGAUGGGGAUGCGUCUGAUUAGCUUGUUGGCGGGGUAACGGCCCACCAAGGCGACGAUCAGUAGGGGUUCUGAGAGGAAGGUCCCCCACAUUGGAACUGAGACACGGUCCAGACUCCUACGGGAGGCAGCAGUGAGGAAUAUUGGUCAAUGGGCGAGAGCCUGAACCAGCCAAGUAGCGUGCAGGAUGACGGCCCUAUGGGUUGUAAACUGCUUUUAUGUGGGGAUAAAGUGCGUGACGUGUCAUGCAUUGCAGGUACCACAUGAAUAAGGACCGGCUAAUUCCGUGCCAGCCGCCGCGGUAAAAGGG
rnacentral:rRNA from 1 species